rnacentral:tRNA from 1 species
AUUUAAGUAGCUUAAAUUUAAAGUACAAUUUUGAAGUUAUUGUGAUAGGCUUAGGCCUCUUAAAUA